CCCUUAGAUGUUCUGGGCUGCACGCGCGCUACACUGAUGCAUGCAACGAGUUUUCGACCUUGCCUGAAAAGGUUGGGUAAUCUGUUUAACAUGUGUCGUGAUGGGGAUAGACCAUUGCAAUUAUUGAUCUUCAACGAGGAAUGCCUAGUAGGCGCAAGUCAUCAGCUUGCGUCGAUUACGUCCCUGCCCUUUGUACACACCGCCCGUCGCUCCUACCGAUUGGGUGUGCUGGUGAAAUGUUCGGAUCGGCCGUUUGUCGCGGUUUCCGCGUCAUGUGGCUGAGAAGUUCAUUAAACCCUCCCACCUAGAGGAAGGAGAAGUCGUAACA
rnacentral:rRNA from 1 species